AUGGAUCAGCUUUUUGCUUAUGUAAGCAUCUUUCUCUUAGUUUGUGGAUCAGCCAAUGCUCAAGCAACCCAGUUCUGUGCUUAUGCCUGGAAUGAAUUCAGCAAUUGCCUGAGGUUUGUUACAGGCUUAUAUUCUGACCCCUCAGCCCAGUGUUGUGAGUCGAUGAGGACAUUGAACAUGAAGGCCAAAAGUGGUGGGGUAGCUCCUCGGAAUAUAUGUCAGUGCAUUGAGGACAUGGCUUCUGUAUAUGGAAUUCCUUUUGUAGCCUCCAUUAUCCAAGAUCUUCCCACGAAAUGCAAUGAGCAUCUUAGUUUUCCUAUUUCUAAUAGCAUGAAUUGCACCCAGUAA
rnacentral:lncRNA from 1 species